ensembl:scaRNA
AGUCUGCAGCCUUGAAAUUGCCCUUAGUUGACUUGUACUCUGGGCAUAUUGGGUUUGCAAAGAAUAUACAACUGAGGAAGCCGAGGCAGGACUGUAAAAAAAGAAGCAGCAGCUCCUUGUGCAAUAUUCCUCUGACAUAUUUUACACUGUUACCACGGAGAUGAUGAUUGUCCUUGUAUCAUUAUCCAUCUGUCAGCAGUAAGAGUAAAUUUGCAGUGUGAUAUUGUUCAGCAAAUGAAGAAUUUCUACUGAAUACUUUUGACUGCUAUAUUU